rnacentral:rRNA from 1 species
GGUUAAGCGACUAAGCGUACACGGUGGAUGCCCUGGCAGUCAGAGGCGAUGAAGGACGUGCUAAUCUGCGAAAAGCGUCGGUAAGGUGAUAUGAACCGUUAUAACCGGCGAUGUCCGAAUGGGGAAACCCAGUGCAAUUCGUUGCACUAUCGUUAACUGAAUACAUAGGUUAACGAGGCGAACCGGGGGAACUGAAACAUCUAAGUACCCCGAGGAAAAGAAAUCAACCGAGAUUCCCCCAGUAGCGGCGAGCGAACGGGGAGCAGCCCAGAGUCUGAAUCAGCUUGUGUGUUAGUGGAACGGUCUGGAAAGUCCGACGGUACAGGGUGAUAGUCCCGUACACCAAAAUGCACAGGCUGUGAACUCGAAGAGUAGGGCGGGACACGUGGUAUCCUGUCUGAAUAUGGGGGGACCAUCCUCCAAGGCUAAAUACUCCUGACUGACCGAUAGUGAACCAGUACCGUGAGGGAAAGGCGAAAAGAACCCCGGCGAGGGGAGUGAAAAAGAACCUGAAACCGUGUACGUACAAGCAGUGGGAGCACCUUCGGGUGUGACUGCGUACCUUUUGUAUAAUGGGUCAGCGACUUAUAUUCUGUAGCAAGGUUAACCGUAUAGGGGAGCCGCAGGGAAACCGAGUCUUAACUGGGCGUUAAGUUGCAGGGUAUAGACCCGAAACCCGGUGAUCUAGCCAUGGGCAGGUUGAAGGUUGGGUAACACUAACUGGAGGACCGAACCGACUAAUGUUGAAAAAUUAGCGGAUGACUUGUGGCUGGGGGUGAAAGGCCAAUCAAACCGGGAGAUAGCUGGUUCUCCCCGAAAGCUAUUUAGGUAGCGCCUCGUGAACUCAUCUUCGGGGGUAGAGCACUGUUUCGGCUAGGGGGUCAUCCCGACUUACCAACCCGAUGCAAACUACGAAUACCGAAGAAUGUUAUCACGGGAGACACACGGCGGGUGCUAACGUCCGUCGUGAAGAGGGAAACAACCCAGACCGCCAGCUAAGGUCCCAAAGUCAUGGUUAAGUGGGAAACGAUGUGGGAAGGCACAGACAGCCAGGAUGUUGGCUUAGAAGCAGCCAUCAUUUAAAGAAAGCGUAAUAGCUCACUGGUCGAGUCGGCCUGCGCGGAAGAUGUAACGGGGCUAAACCAUGCACCGAAGCUGCGGCAGCGACACUAUGUGUUGUUGGGUAGGGGAGCGUUCUGUAAGCCUGCGAAGGUGACCUGUGAGGGUUGCUGGAGGUAUCAGAAGUGCGAAUGCUGACAUAAGUAACGAUAAAGCGGGUGAAAAGCCCGCUCGCCGGAAGACCAAGGGUUCCUGUCCAACGUUAAUCGGGGCAGGGUGAGUCGACCCCUAAGGCGAGGCCGAAAGGCGUAGUCGAUGGGAAACAGGUUAAUAUUCCUGUACUUGGUGUUACUGCGAAGGGGGGACGGAGAAGGCUAUGUUAGCCGGGCGACGGUUGUCCCGGUUUAAGCAUGUAGGCUGGUUGUCCAGGCAAAUCCGGAUAAUCAAGGCUGAGGUGUGAUGACGAGGCACUACGGUGCUGAAGUAACAAAUGCCCUGCUUCCAGGAAAAGCCUCUAAGCAUCAGGUAACAUUAAAUCGUACCCCAAACCGACACAGGUGGUCAGGUAGAGAAUACCAAGGCGCUUGAGAGAACUCGGGUGAAGGAACUAGGCAAAAUGGUGCCGUAACUUCGGGAGAAGGCACGCUGGUGUGUAGGUGAAGUCCCUGCGGAUGGAGCUGAGACCAGUCGAAGAUACCAGCUGGCUGCAACUGUUUAUUAAAAACACAGCACUGUGCAAACACGAAAGUGGACGUAUACGGUGUGACGCCUGCCCGGUGCCGGAAGGUUAAUUGAUGGGGUUAUCCGUAAGGAGAAGCUCUUGAUCGAAGCCCCGGUAAACGGCGGCCGUAACUAUAACGGUCCUAAGGUAGCGAAAUUCCUUGUCGGGUAAGUUCCGACCUGCACGAAUGGCGUAAUGAUGGCCAGGCUGUCUCCACCCGAGACUCAGUGAAAUUGAACUCGCUGUGAAGAUGCAGUGUACCCGCGGCAAGACGGAAAGACCCCGUGAACCUUUACUAUAGCUUGACACUGAACAUUGAGCCUUGAUGUGUAGGAUAGGUGGGAGGCUUUGAAGCGUGGACGCCAGUCUGCGUGGAGCCAACCUUGAAAUACCACCCUUUAAUGUUUGAUGUUCUAACGUUGGCCCCUUAUCGGGGUUGCGGACAGUGUCUGGUGGGUAGUUUGACUGGGGCGGUCUCCUCCCAAAGCGUAACGGAGGAGCACGAAGGUUAGCUAAUCCUGGUCGGACAUCAGGAGGUUAGUGCAAUGGCAUAAGCUAGCUUGACUGCGAGCGUGACGGCGCGAGCAGGUGCGAAAGCAGGUCAUAGUGAUCCGGUGGUUCUGAAUGGAAGGGCCAUCGCUCAACGGAUAAAAGGUACUCCGGGGAUAACAGGCUGAUACCGCCCAAGAGUUCAUAUCGACGGCGGUGUUUGGCACCUCGAUGUCGGCUCAUCACAUCCUGGGGCUGAAGUAGGUCCCAAGGGUAUGGCUGUUCGCCAUUUAAAGUGGUACGCGAGCUGGGUUUAGAACGUCGUGAGACAGUUCGGUCCCUAUCUGCCGUGGGCGCUGGAGAAUUGAGGGGGGCUGCUCCUAGUACGAGAGGACCGGAGUGGACGCAUCACUGGUGUUCGGGUUGUCAUGCCAAUGGCACUGCCCGGUAGCUAAAUGCGGAAGAGAUAAGUGCUGAAAGCAUCUAAGCACGAAACUUGCCCCGAGAUGAGUUCUCCCUGAGACUUUAAGUCUCCUGAAGGAACGUUAAAGACGAUGACGUUGAUAGGCCGGGUGUGUAAGCGCAGCGAUGCGUUGAGCUAACCGGUACUAAUGAACCGUGAGGCUUAACCUU